GCUCUUUUUUCCUCAACCUUCUGGGCUUAUAUUCAGUGCGCCGGCGCAAGCCGGAUAUGGCGAUAAACGGCCGUUGCAAUAAACCUUUCGGACCCGGGGGCAGUACCCGGCGGCUCCACCCAAACCCGGCGGGAACGGGUUUCGGCGGGGCCGAACUAGGAUCGACGAGGGUGUAAAGAGCGCGCUUUUGCCCGUUAUGGUUCCGUCGUUAUCGGGCCAUUCCAUAGUUGCCAACGACAACUAUGCUCCGGUUGCUCAAGCCGCGUAAUGCGGUUUGAAACACCGAACUUAAAGUCCUAACGGGUUAAGCUCCGUUAGGCGGGGUCCGGAGGCACCUGGCAACAGAAGCCUCCACU
rnacentral:tmRNA from 1 species